rnacentral:lncRNA from 1 species
GGAUUCAGGGUGAUGUUGCAUCAGAAUUGGCUAGGUUGAAGAGGAAGAUUGGUAGGACCAGUGGUAAAAAUGUGGAAGAGAGUGAGGAGAGUGAGGAUGAGGAUGAAGACAGUGAGAGCGAGGAUUCGGAUUAUGAUUCAGAGAUUGAGAAGAUCAUUGCUCAAAAAAAUGGGUUAAAGGUUGGUAAAAAGGAGAAGUCAAAAAAGAAGAAUGAUGACUCAGAUGAUGAUGGGUCAGAUUCGGAUUCUGGGAAGAGGAAGAAGAGAGGAAGGUCGAAGAAGAGGAGGAGCAAGAGGAAACAUGCUGAUGAUUCAGAUGAUUCAGAUGAAGGUAGGAAAAGAAAAAGGAAGGAGAAGCGUAGGAAGAGGGAUGAGUCCUCGGAUGAGGACGGUGAGCGUCGGCGGCGGCACAGGAAAAGUAGGAAGGAGAAGAGGAGGAGGAGAAGUCAUCGGCAUUCAGAUGAUUCUGAAUCUGAUUCGUCUGAUGAUUCUCGUAGACACUGCAGUCGGAGGAGCAGGAAGGCAGCAACACCAUCUGAUUCUGAAGAUGAUUCACGCGUAGGUAGGGGCAGGAAGCGGUCUGAGAAGAAGAGCAGCAAACGCCAUCACAAGGAUGAUGAGUAAAUCUAUCUAGGAAUGGAUUCGAACCAUGUACACCAGCACUGUCAUUGAAUUCUAUGUAGUAUAUGCUUUUGCAACCUUUGUAUUGCUUCUGUUAAUUUGCUUGGACAAGCUUCUUUUGCGUUUCGAUCUUCUGCUUUGUGGGAUGAAACUGUCACUUUGCUGAUUCAGAAGUUGGAAUUUCUCUGGUAAUGUGUAUUUAAUCUUGUGCGUUUUCUGUUAAAAGUGUCUACACUUCAUACCGUGUGAUCAUGUAUGCAUCCUUUUCUCAUUACCAAUCGUUUAUCAGUUGUGAUUGUUUCGAUGUUUUUUUUUUCUAUGAUUAUGUAUUUAGUUUAGAAGGUUCUCUAUUUUAAUCUUUGUCGAAUUAGGGUUCUAUGUCGCCCUAGAUUGUUUCCGACAAUCUUCUAGUUCGAAUGCAAGCAUAGAACGUUGUUUUUAGCACUCCAAAAUUAUACAUUUGUGAAGAUACUUUGCAUCAUCUUAUGUAGAAUUGUUAUCUUUAUUGUCGACAUUCAUCACCUUGUGCGUGUUGGCAGUUCAUACUUCAUAUGACCACUAGUCAGUUUUUAUAUGUAAAGAAAGGGGGGGAGAUUCUCCAGGAAAAAACAAGGCAACAACAGGCUAAGACGGGAAUGAAGGCGCGCUUUCUACUCCUUUGCUGAUUUGAUGACUAAUCUUGUGUCGCAGCGCCCUGGUUGAGCUCUGCAAACCUCAUGCCAACACGCAUGGAAUGCUUUAGGAACUUCUCGGCACAUCGCCUGACACAGGUUUCCUCUUGCUUCUGCAGUGAUUUGUGCUUAAAGGUGUCGACACAAUCAUUGAAGCAUCUCUCAACAAGUGAGUUAUACAUUCUCAAACUGCAAGCAAACCCAUAUUGUUAGCAGGUUGGUUCCGUCCUUUACAAUGAUAACGGCAUCAGAAAAGCUCAUUCAAAUACCCCACAAACACAUCCUAUACAGAAACUCGGCAAAAUACUAUCUCUAGACGACAGUAACAGUUCCUUUUCAUACAAAUAAGCAUCCAACUACGUUAAUUAUGAUGUUCCUUUAAUACCAAGUCACAACUUGAAGUACAAAUGCCUAGAUGAAAAAGCGGAGGAAGUACAAGCUGUACAAGCUUAUGACAGAAGGUACCAGAUAAUUGCUUACGGCUAAAAGCCACAAGGUUCAGGUGAUUAACCAGUAUAUCAACUAAUUUUCUUUUUGUUAAUUGGGUAAAACACAUGCACUCGGGGAUUAACACCAUUUGCAUCAACACAACUAAUGUAGUUCCCAAAACGUCCAGAAGCAACACAGAUGUUGCACUGGUUUUAAGGAGAACUUUCGUAUGGCUUCACAAACAGAGUUUUCACAAAAUUAAACCAAGUGACCCACAUCAUACGAAAAGGAAUUGUGAAGCAACAAAUCCAGUCAGUCAAAUGCUUUGAUAUUCCAUGCACUUCACAAAGAUACUAAGACCACAUUUGGUACCUUGGACUUGAAUAGAUUGGACAACUCACAAGAUUCAUCAGGUGAUCAAACAGUAAUUCAUUAAUUUUCUUUUUGUUAAUUGGGUAAAACUCACACUCAGAAAUAAUCAACAUUUGCAUAACACGUAUCUAAUGUAGUUCCCAAAACGUCCAGAAGCAACACAUAUACGCUGCACUGGUUUUAAGGAGAACUUCUAUAUGGCUUCACAAAAAGAGUGAUCACAAAAUUAAACCAAGUGAUCCAAGUCGUACAAAAAGGAACUGUGAAGCAACAAAUUUGAGUCAAUCAAAUGCCUUGAUAUUCCAUGCUCUUCACAAAGAUACUAAGGCCACAUUUGGUGCCCAGGACUUGAACAGAUUGGACAACUCACAAGAUUCAUUCAACUGACAAGAUUCAUAACACGUAACUAAUGUAGUUCCCAAAACGUCCAGAAGCAACACGCAUACGUUGCACUGGUUUUAAGGAGAACUUCUAUAUGGCUUCACAAAAACAGUUGUCACAAAAUUAAACCAAGUGACCCACAUCGUACAAAAAGGAAUUGUGAAGCAACAAAUCUGAGUCUAUCCAAUGCCUUGAUAUUUCAUGCUCUUAACAAAGAUACUAAGGCCUUGUUUAGUGCCUAGGAAUCGAAUGGAUUGGACAACUCACAAGAUUUAUUCACGGUAAUUUGAGUAAAUGGGGACUGACUUCAAAAUUUUAUUCAGGUUGAUGUAGAAGAUGGAUGAGUACAACAACAACAACAACAAAGCCUUUUCCCACUAAGUGGAUGUAGAAGAUGGAUGAGUCAGGAAGGAAAAUUUUCCCUUCCAAUCCCCACGAAAUGGUAGGACUGUAAGUUAAUUCCUUGAUGAUAUGUGUAGAUUCAAUUGUUAAAAAUGCAUUACAAGAACACUACCAAUAAACUACACAAGCACUACAAAGGGACUAACAAAGGAAUCUCAAACGACACCUCUCAUUUCAAAGUUCCUUUAAAUGUAUUGCAUCUAGUCGUUUUCGAGUCCCUCUAUCUAACUUUUGUAGUGCAUUCUUAGCAAAUUUAGCCUAAGUUCCAUGGAACCUUAAAAGUUCCUCAUCGAAACACACUAUUAACUUCAACAAAAUGUGGAUGUUGCCAUUUCAUAUCUUACUUCAACAUAUAUUGAAUCUAGUAAAUUAUCCAAGCAAUCCCAAUUACGGACACUAAACGUGGCCUAGAAAACAAACAUUUCGGUAGGAAUCCAAUCGCAACCGAAAAUACAAGGCAUUGCGUUACAGAGCACAGAUUGAAAGCAUGCCAAAGAAUUACCAACUGACCCACCAGCCAAUAUAUUAGAAAUGCAAAAAACAAAAGCCAACCAAAUCCAAGACAUCAAACAUGCACUACCAAUAAUUCUAUCGCAAACCCACAAACUCUCACCUCAUAAAUUGGAAAAAUUUGCAGACUUCGAUGACUAUUUUUUUACUACUAUGAACCAAAUUUCGAAUUUUUCAUCAUAUUCUUAAGCUGAAAUUCACAGAAUUUAACAAUCAGAUGAGAAAUUUUACGAUUGAAGUGGAAAUUAAGGCAAUGAAUUAUAGAGAGAGAUGACCUGUCGCGGAUCUGGAGCUGGUCGAUCAUGGUGGCCAUUCUCAUCUUAUCUUCCUCUGGAAGCGAAUCCAGAUCUCCUAUCAUGCUCUUAUCCAUCCCGGAUUGUAUCGAAUUUCUCCGAUUUCAGCUUAACUGCCUCACUCACUCUGGAAAAAUGACGAAGUGAGGUUAGGGUUUAUGGAACAGGGCAACAGAUCUCUGUCUUUAUAGUGANNNNNNNNNNNNNNNNNNNNNNNNNNNNNNNNNNNNNNNNNNNNNNNNNNNNNNNNNNNNNNNNNNNNNNNNNNNNNNNNNNNNNNNNNNNNNNNNNNNNNNNNNNNNNNNNNNNNNNNNNNNNNNNNNNNNNNNNNNNNNNNNNNNNNNNNNNNNNNNNNNNNNNNNNNNNNNNNNNNNNNNNNNNNNNNNNNNNNNNNNNNNNNNNNNNNNNNNNNNNNNNNNNNNNNNNNNNNNNNNNNNNNNNNNNNNNNNNNNNNNNNNNNNNNNNNNNNNNNNNNNNNNNNNNNNNNNNNNNNNNNNNNNNNNNNNNNNNNNNNNNNNNNNNNNNNNNNNNNNNNNNNNNNNNNNNNNNNNNNNNNNNNNNNNNNNNNNNNNNNNNNNNNNNNNNNNNNNNNNNNNNNNNNNNNNNNNNNNNNNNNNNNNNNNNNNNNNNNNNNNNNNNNNNNNNNNNNNNNNNNNNNNNNNNNNNNNNNNNNNNNNNNNNNNNNNNNNNNNNNAUACACUGCAUGAUUUGUUAGUUAAGUUUAACCUUAGUCUUAGUUGUACUGCUUAGUGGAGUGUUGAGAAUGAUCUCUGAUAAAAGAACAGCUUAGCAGGUCAUUUAAUUUUACAUACUUUAGUAUGUACCUGAAAAGAUUGUACAUAUUUUAGUUAUUUAUACACAUUUACAUACAUCUGUUUUUCCUUUCGUCACUCUUUCAUGCCUUGCAGGUACCGUAUUUCUCUAUUUUCUCGAUGGAAGCAAAGAGGAAUGUAUGCAACAUGCAUGUGGACUGUCCAGUUGCUUUUGGUUCUUACCAAAGUCGAUCUGCUGUUCCUUUAUAUCCCUGAAUAUUAUCUGGAAGCUCUUGUAAGUUAACUCUUUUUAUAUUAAAUCUAACAAUGUUUGAUAUGCAAUGAGUCAUUGUCAUAAACUUUUAUGAUCUUGCUUUUGAGUACGAAUGCUUGUCUUUUUCCUUCCUAAUAGGAGAAUAUUUGUGCUUUCCCUUGUUUUUGCAGACUUUGGUGUUUACACUUGUUUUAUUGCAUGUUGAAAGGAUAAUCCAUUUUUUUUUAAUUUGUUUUCUAAUUUUUUUCAUUCAAUGUUUCUUUGAUGGCGAUAUUUGCAUGUUAUUGAAAUUCUCGAUGGAUAUCAGGUAGAUGCAGUCAGUGGCGGAUCCAGGAUUUUAACAUAGGGUGGUCCUAAUAUAAAAGUUCCAGAAAAAAAAAAACGAAAAUAACAUUGAAAAAUAAAUGGCAAACUACAACUUCAACAAAAAAAUAUGUAUGAACUGACACUGUAACAUAAUCUUCGACAAAAAAAAAAAAACAUUGUAACACAAUUCAAGUAAUAUUAGAAAAUCCUAACAAAUGAACAAUAAAUAUGUAUGAACUAACACUAAAAUAGAUAUGAAAAAAUCCUAAGAAAUUAACAAUGAAUAAGGCUGAACUUAGUUUAAAACCUGUUAGUGUGUGAUUGCUUUGGCUUUUUAUCAAAAAACCCUUACCAAAAACCAUUAUCAAAGACCCUUACAUAUAUGUAUUCACUGUUCAGCCUUUUGUUUUUAAUUAAUGUUCUUUAAAAAAUAAAAUAAAAAACUAAAACUAAAAAUCCUAACAAGUUAACAAUAAAUAUGGAUGAACUAACACUAAACUAGAAAACUUACAGAAAUUCUGAAAUUGUUGUUGAUGGCCUUCGCUAGCUUGGGUGGUGUGAGGAAUAGGAGCGGCAGGCAAUUAGGUAUAUUAUAUUUGAUAAAGUUGAAUUUGAUUGGAAGCAAACUAAUGAAAAGCCAUGGGCUUUUAUUAAAUUUCAAAUUGUUUGACUUUUUAAUAAAAGAUGGUGAGUGCUAUCACGUGAAGGCUCUCACGUUGGUUUUAAAUUUUUUUUAAUGACUUGGCUCAAAACGACGCGUUUUGGUCAAGUCAUUAAAAAAAAAAAACCCUUUCUUCUUCCUCCUUCAGUUUUGCACAGCGCAGCAGCUAUGGCUGCUGCUCUUCUCUACCACUGCCCAGACUUGGGUGGUCCUAGGAGGUUCUCACAGCCAUUUAUCCGAGCUUCUGGGUGGUCCCGAGACCACCCUGGUCCCUUAGUAAAUCCGCCUCUGGAUGCAGUAUGUGCUCACCCUUAAGAGUAGUUCUGGAAUUACAUUAGGAUGCUAUACAACUGCUUGGGAAAAUUCUGAGAUGGAAAGUUUUUAAUUUUCUACAAAUAUUUCAACCUCUGACUUUUGAUAUGUGACAAAUGUAAAAAAGAUAGAAAAAGUUCAUCUGCUCGUUAAUGUUUCGGGAAAUACUGGAUCUAGCCUCUAAUUGCAAUGACCUCUUGAGCCAGUUCUUCUGAAGCCCUGUAUUUGGAAUUGUUCAUUACUCUUCUAUUCCCUUGCAGGUCGAUUGCUUUCAUUGUGUUGCGCAAAAGUGAUCCUCCAUUUGUACCUUCAUCAAUAUUUAUCAAGCAAGGCCUUGCUUCAUUUGUACGUUUAUUCUUUUAGUCUUGUUUUUUCCAACUUUCUAUUUUAUGCUCUGCUGUGUAUAAUUUGACAAGACAUUUACAUAAUAAAAAUACAAACUAUAGGCCUGAUGGAUUUGAAAACGAUAAAUUAUUUAGUUUUAGAUGUGAUAAUUGAGCAUCGAGGUAAUUUAUAUUUUGAUUUACCUGGUGAAUAUUAUCUAUCUUUUGAAGUUCUAUAUUUAAAGCAUGCCCAUGAAGGAAAACUAUAUGAAUUUGUCUUAUUUAAUGUUCCGUAUUAUUGUUUUGGUUCAUAUAAUUUGUAAACGCAUGUCUUGCUAUUCAUAAUUCUUUUAUCUUAACACAUAGUAGAUCCUCUGAAAGUUGGAUCCUGAAUAAUAUUGACAGGCAAAAAACAUGGCCUGGCAGGACUUGAUGAAGAUUAUGAGUUUUUUUUUUUUUUUUUUUUUUUUUUUUUUCCUUCUAGAUUUUUGAGUGUCUUGUUCCCAGGUCACUUUGUGGUCACACACUUCAACGAUCCUCGGAUAUCAAGUGCGGAUCUUAGGGAUCUGCUUCUCCAAUCAAUCUCAGUCUUGGUACAGUACAAAGAAUAUCUGUCUGUCUUCGAGAGUAAUGAAGCAGCCACCCAGAGAAUGCCUAAGGCAUUGCUGUCAGCAUUUGAUAAUAGAUCCUGGAUUCCAGUGACAAACAUUCUUCUGCGUUUGUGCAAGGGAUCUGGCUUUGGUUCUUCAAAGCAGGGAGAAUCGUCGUCUUCAUCCGUUGUCUUCCAGGUGAAUGAUCCUUGAUUAUUGUUUUAGGAUUUUUGUCGUAUAAUGUAUUACAACCGAAUAACUUCUGAUUCUUCUUUCGCCUUUUAAUCCGUAAAGAGAUUGUUAGUGAAACAUGUAUCAACGAUCAAGAAUUGUUUCUCAGCUUUUUCAAUCGCCUAUUUAACACUCUCAGCUGGACAAUGACUGAAUUCAGUUUCUGUUAGAGAAAUGCAAAAGAAGUACCAGGUAUGGAUAAAAUAUAUUGCUACUAUGAUAGGUUAGGGUUUAGGUCAUAUUCAUAUGACUUGAUUAGUUUUAUUCUAUUUUUCUGGUUACUCUAAGCUUAAACCCCUUGGUCCUCUUGAGAAGAAAGACUCACGUGCUAUAGGUAUGGCAUACUCACAGCGAAGGAAAAAACUUUACAUGUAUCAGGCUUGUUUUGUAUUUUACUGAAAUGAAAUGCAAAAAAUUUCAUAAAAUGACUACUAGAGGAAAACAUUAAUUUUUUAGUAUCCUUAAGCAAUAGAAAUGAAAACAUUAGUUUUUAGUAUUCUUAGCAAUAGAAAUUAUCAUGCACUAAAUUUUUCUGUUGCCAUGCUUGAUGUUAGGAAAUAAUAUAAACUACUUUUUAUAUGCUUUAGUUUCUGAAAAAAAAAAAAAAUAUAGUGAAAUCCAGUUAUGAAGAGAGAUAAAAAAAGGCGUACCCAGGCUCCCGCUUUACGCAGGGUCUGGGAGAGGUGAAUGUCGCUAACCUUACCCCCAUUUAUGGAGAGGCUGCUCCCAAGUCUCAACCCGGACUACCGCUCUGGGCGAAGGCACUUGCCAUCGUACCCAUUAUGAAGAGAGAUAAUACAAAAUUAAUUAAUUCGUUCAUGAUCAAUUAAGUGAGCAAGUCCUUCUUGUCUAGCUUGGAUUGGCAUGUGAGCUCACUGUGCCUAGAUCCAAUGCAUUAUUCACAAACCCUAGCCGUGUAUUUUGGCAUCCCAAACCCUCAACUUGCACAAAUCUAUGGUGGAGCUUUGAUAUGGGGUUCUCUUUACUGAAAAAAUUCCUGAAGAGGAGAUUAACUUCAAAACCAUGGGCACAUUCCCAUGAGGCCAUCAAAGCCUUGGUUAUUGGGCAGAAUGAGUAAUGUAAAGAGAGAUGUGCAUCUUGUUUGUUUGACAUUAUAAGUGAAGAAAGAACUGGGCAAAAUAAAGAGAGUUUUUUUUUUCUCCAAUCCAUAGUAGCGUUUGGAAGAUAAAAUAGAGAAUUUCUGAAGUAUAAGAGAAUUUCCAAAUUUUUUAAGCAGAGCCUAAUAUGCUCCUCACCAAAUAUUAAGAUCUUUUCAACAUUGGGCAGAAUAAAUAACGAGGGCGCAUUUGUUAAAGCAGUUAAAUUACUUUUGUUUGAGACCUCUUCUAUAUGGAAAAAAUAUAAUAUUAUUUUUUUAAUUUGGACUUGUCUGAACUUUGGUUAUUUUUUUAAAUCAGAAAAUAGAAUAUUGGUUUAAUUUUGGUUUUGGAUAAAGAGAUAAAUGGCCUAAUAUUUACCAAUUUGACUGGCUAUUUAUGUUCCAGUCUUUCGUAUUACCCAUCAGACUUUUUUUUUUGUUUUUUUGUUUUUUUUUUGUUUUUUGUUAAUUUAAGAAAAACAUCUUUUGCAGGAUUAGAGUCCAGCAAAGAAAUGCGGGUCAAUAUUGAUCUUUAUGCAAUUGACAAAGCUUUUGAGUUCUGUACCCAUGCGAUACCUCAGCAUUCUUCUGAGCUGAAAAACCUUCGAGGUGAGGAGUGGUUGUCUUUAUUCUGAACACAUAACUUAGCAAAAUGCUGAUUUUUUGACUUGUAAGAUUCGUGCUGAUACCUUGCUACCAAACGGCAACGUUUCUUAGCAUACAAAAGACGGUUGGCAAUUGGUGUUCAAUGUCGGCCAAAAAACAUUGAAAUAAAAACGGAUAUGUUUGAUAUAUUCAAUCGGCUUCACAAAAUCCUUUCGUUCUUCGACAAGCUUCGUUUCGUUUCGCCUCGUUUAGCCUCGUUUAGCCUUGCCGCUCGGAUUCAAAGGUAAAGCUUUAAUCUUUCCAUCUCAAUUUUCUCUCUCCAUGAUUCUCCUUUGUCAAUUGCAACGAAGAACAAACCCUAUAAUUUAAAUCCCAUCGCACGGACAAUUUUCGAUUCUCUGUUUCAAAAUAGCUCGAAAUUGUUAUGUAAUUUGUUGUAACCGCAGCUCGAUUCUAUUGCAUUAAUUUCUGCUCGCUAAUUGUAAUUAGACAUCUUAUUAGGAGUUCUAAAAACCCUAAAAUUUGAAUUUCAAAUUGUUGAGUUAUCGAGCCUCUUUUAAGUUUAAUAACACUAGGGUUUCGUAUUGAUCGAAAUUCGAUUUAUUUCAAGUAAUUUUGUGUGUUUUUGUUUUGUGGGUGUUGUAGUUUUUGAGAGUUUUGAUUUAGUUUGUGUCUCUUUAGGGUUUGAUCUUCGAAUUUCAAGAUGCCUGCCACAGCGGGAAGGGUUCGCAUGCCCGCAAACAAUCGGGUACACAGUAGUGCCGCCCUUCAGACCCACGGUAUAUGGCAGAGUGCAAUUGGGUAUGACCCCUAUGCACCCAACAAAGAUGACACCAAGAGCACUGCGCAACCCAAUGUGUCGAACGAUGAACCGGAUGGUGAGAAUGCAUAUGCUAGCUUCCAGGGCCUCCUUGCGCUUGCCCGUAUAACUGGGUCCAGCGCUGACGAGACUCGUGGGUCUUGCAGCAGGUGCGGCCGUGUUGGGCACCUCAAGUUUCAGUGCAGGAACUUUCUGAGUGUUAAGGAAGAUAAGGAGAGAGAGCCCGAAGGGAUUCAGGGUGAUGUUGCAUCAGAAUUGGCUAGGUUGAAGAGGAAGAUUGGUAGGACCAGUGGUAAAAAUGUGGAAGAGAGUGAGGAGAGUGAGGAUGAGGAUGAAGACAGUGAGAGCGAGGAUUCGGAUUAUGAUUCAGAGAUUGAGAAGAUCAUUGCUCAAAAAAAUGGGUUAAAGGUUGGUAAAAAGGAGAAGUCAAAAAAGAAGAAUGAUGACUCAGAUGAUGAUGGGUCAGAUUCGGAUUCUGGGAAGAGGAAGAAGAGAGGAAGGUCGAAGAAGAGGAGGAGCAAGAGGAAACAUGCUGAUGAUUCAGAUGAUUCAGAUGAAGGUAGGAAAAGAAAAAGGAAGGAGAAGCGUAGGAAGAGGGAUGAGUCCUCGGAUGAGGACGGUGAGCGUCGGCGGCGGCACAGGAAAAGUAGGAAGGAGAAGAGGAGGAGGAGAAGUCAUCGGCAUUCAGAUGAUUCUGAAUCUGAUUCGUCUGAUGAUUCUCGUAGACACUGCAGUCGGAGGAGCAGGAAGGCAGCAACACCAUCUGAUUCUGAAGAUGAUUCACGCGUAGGUAGGGGCAGGAAGCGGUCUGAGAAGAAGAGCAGCAAACGCCAUCACAAGGAUGAUGAGUAAAUCUAUCUAGGAAUGGAUUCGAACCAUGUACACCAGCACUGUCAUUGAAUUCUAUGUAGUAUAUGCUUUUGCAACCUUUGUAUUGCUUCUGUUAAUUUGCUUGGACAAGCUUCUUUUGCGUUUCGAUCUUCUGCUUUGUGGGAUGAAACUGUCACUUUGCUGAUUCAGAAGUUGGAAUUUCUCUG